rnacentral:rRNA from 1 species
CAGGGAAUAUUGCACAAUGGGCGAAAGCCUGAUGCAGCAACGCCGCGUGAGGGAUGAAGGUCUUCGGAUUGUAAACCUCUUUUUCGGGGGAAGAGAAGGGACGGUACCCCGAGAAUAAGCAACGGCUAACUACGUGCCAGCAGCCGCGGUAAUACGUAGGUUGCGAGCGUUAUUCGGAUUUACUGGGCGUAAAGCGCACCGAGGUGGCUUCUUAAGUUGGAUGUGAAAUCUCCCGGCUUAACUGGGAGGCGCCAUUCAAAACUGGGGAGCUUGAGACCAGCAGGGGAAAGUGGAAUUCCCGGUGUAGUGGUGGAAUGCGUAGAGAUCGGGAGGAACACCAGUGGCGAAAGCGACUUUCUGGGCUGCGUCUGACACUCUAGUGCGAAAGCGUGGGGAGCAAACAGGAUUAGAUACCCCCGUAGUCC